GCUACCCCAAAGACGUUUCCUAAAGUAAGGAAUCGAGCAAUUAUUAAACGACCAACUUUCUAAUCCUGAGCUGAUAACACCAGGAACCAUAAUAACAGGAUGGUCACUUCGAUAUCCCUCAUUGUACAUAUCAAGACCAACUUGAACUUCAUUUCCGCUAGGAGACUGCGAAGGCUUGUCCGUAGUAAAAGGUGCAUCCUUAAACACAUUAUAAGAUAAAUAUCCUUUAAUGUCAUCAAACAAGUCUGAAGAGCCUAGCAUAUUCCCAAAUUUAUCUAACGUAGCAGGGUCGAAAACAGCAUUGUCGUCUCCAACAGCGAAAAAAAAAGCACCGCAUAUUCCCAAAAUAGCGCCCAAUAUAAAAUUCAAUCUUUUUCCAAAUUUAGAUUUUCUUGAUUUAUUUGAAACAGAUUGUGUUUCGGACGCUGAAGGUUGCUCACUCAAAGCGCGAGUUGGUUUCUUUGAAUUUGGUAAGUCGAUAGGAGAUUUGACUUCUUUCUUUUUCUUAUGAGUUUUGCUCUUCUUGGAAGACGCCAUAGUUAACUUUAAAAUAUGAAUUGCUUGAGCAGCAACUGCCAAACAUUCGAUAAGUAAGCGAAGUCCUUACUGUCAUAGUUCUACAGCAGGAGUGAUAACGAAGUGAGCGUUAAGUUGCUUUAGAAACACGUUUAAUAUCGGUUUCCUUCUACAAUUGUAUUUUGAUUUAGUGUCUAAAAGUUUGAAAUACCUUAUUUCUAGUUAAACUGAGUUACGUUACAAUGCACUUAUACUCAGUAUAUGCCGAUUAUAUUUAUUAUCAAAACUUCUAGCCUGAGAGGAUGAUGACAGUUCCAAAAAAUGAUCUCUGUUCAAGUAUGUAAUUUACCAAUAUUUGAUACAGCCUAAAAUUGAGAAGAGUUCCUCAGUUUUACUUAGCAGUUAAUGAAGGUGAAUAGUUUUCUAGGGUAAAGUUAAAUCUUCUUCAUAAGCACAAAAAAUAAUUAAUGACCCAGCUAGAAUGUGCAAAUUACUUAGCUAAUAACUAAAUUACCUUAACUUGCGCUUGAAUUGUUUAAUUGUUGCAAAUAAUGGGUGUUGUAGAUCAAUGAAGUUAUAGUUAUUAACAUUCAAUUCGUUAUAAAAAAGGUAUACCGUCAUUCUUCUUUUUAAUUAGGCAAUACUAAUAUACAAAGGAUUUUGAAUAUGUAAGAUAAAGCAUUAGAAUUGACUUUAUUCAUGAUAUCCAUCGUCAAUGAGCUUUUGAAUAUUAUCGGCUUUAUGAGGAAGCAAAGAAAGUGCAUACACCACAUGAUCCCAUUGACGUUGAGUUUUACACCGAUCAAGACGAGCAGCCAGACGUUCGGCUAAUUGCUUGGUAUGUCUUUCUUUUUCAAUAAAGGACGUCAAGAAACGAAUGAUACGCUUAAACUUAGCGUCGUCCUCAUCCUGCUCCUCUGCACUUCUAGAUAAUACACUGAAGAUAUCAAUAAAGUUAUUAUAUACAGAAUUAUCCUUGGCUGCAAAAUCAGUAAAAAACAUUCGAGCAAGAUCAGAAAUUCGAGCAUCUUCGUCUUCCAAAGAACGAGCCAUAAUACCCAGCUGGCCCUUUACUUUUAUUUGACCAGCUAAAAUCAAAAAUGCUAGAGUCAUAAAGCAUGUCUUUUUGACAGAAGACUCUUCAUCCAUCAGUCUUCUAUAUAAGUAUUCGGAUAUUUCAUCAAUAAAAUGAUUGAAACAAACAGUUAAAUCUGCUAACCCGAUUACUAAGUUGUUUCGAAUAAUCGGAUUAUCACAUUUCUCCAGAAUGGUUAUUAACAAUGGAAGAUGUUCCAUACAAAAAUUGUUAGAAAGACACAUAAAUUUGGACAAAGUCAGAGAAGCAGCUAGUAAAAGGCUUUGAUUAUUGUGCGAUUUAUGAUUUGAGCACAAUUCUACUACCAAUGGAGCAAAUCUCGAAAGUAAAGAAUUCUCACCAUAGAGCAACUCCCUUUCACGAAUAAAUGUCAUUGCUUCUGAAAAAUCAUCUUCACUUGUUCCCGUAAUUAAAUCAUAUUCAGAAGUUUCUUGCCCAUUUAUAGGAUUAUUUGAGUUCUGUACGGCCAAUCUCUCGGCGUCCGCUUUUCGCCGUUUGAACUCUGCCUCACAAUAUUCGAUAUAGACUAAUUGUUUAAUCGCGACAUGGCCUACUAAAAAUAUUAAGUGCGCCAGUCGUAUACCUAUUUCUUCCUCAUCUUUUAAUGUUUCUUCUUCUGGAGAAUCAUCUAAAUCUUCGUCCAUUGCAUGAUCAUCGUUACUGGUAGUAUUCUCAUGAUUGGAAGGUUUGAAGAGUUGUUUCGUCAAAAGCAAAAUAAUGUUGGUACAAAGUUCGUCAGGAUGUUUGGCAACUGCAUAUAUAGCCUCAAUAGCUUGCUCUUCUAACCCAAACCACUCUUCAGAGAACGAUGGUCGAAGUAAAAGCAUACAUAAUUUUUGACAAAGCGUAUGCGAAUUUGGAAAAUUAAUAUUAGAAGAACCAGACGCAUCUUUGCCAAUACGUUUAAUCGCUAUACAUGUGUACCUUGCAAGAACUAAAUCCUCCAAACCAGGGGGACCAAGUCCUAUUUGAAUAAGAUGAUCCAAGCCCUGCAUGACAACAUCGGUAUUGCCUAAUGCUAGCAUUCCAAUUACUAUGAUGGAUCCUCUACGUUGUGUUCGAGAUAUAUCCUUCUUUUGAUAACUGUAUACUUGCCAUAGUUUUGUUAUGACUAGAUGUGAAAAAUACCCAUCUUUCAUCAAAAUGCAAAGCAUCUGUUCAAGUGAUGUAAGCUCAGCAAGGCUAGCAUCAUAUGUUAAUGAAAUAAGAUUUCUCGCAAUAUAGUUUGCGGCUUCGUUGGUACCAGAGUUCGGAGGUGGCUCAAAAAAUAAUGUUUUAUAACAUGACAAUACAUGGUUCUGAAUGUUGUUCCCUUCGUCGGAGGUUCCUUUUACCCAAAUUAAAUGAAUCAUUUUUUUUAUAUAUAAUUUUGAAGACGAAAUUCCAAAAGAAUUGCAAAAAACAAAGAAAUCCAUUGACUCAAUUACCUCGCUCUUAUUUUUAGCAAACAACAACUGGCUUAUUAUUUUUGCUCCCGCUUCCACAAUGUCUAUAUAUUGGAGUGCUUCUAAAUAAAACCGUUUCGUUAAAUUCACUUUGACUAUUUCCUCAGCAGGAACAGAAUCGACAUAUUCGCUUAGAGAAUUUUCCAAGUGACUUUCUCCUUCAUGUGACUCAUCAUCUUGGAUCAUAGUAGCAUCCUCUAAUAAGUUUUCAUCGACUUCAAGCUCUGAAUCUACCACCUUUUCUUGUUGCUUUGGUUGUAAAGAAUUAAGCUGUUCCUCGAUGAUAGAUAAUCCUUUCUCCCAAAUAUUUCUGGUUAGUAAGCCAUUGUGCAUAACUGAAAAAGGAUGGGUAGUUAAAAGUUUAGAAAAUAACUUAAUUGCAUUUCGGCGGACAUGACUUGACCGAUCUUGCAAACAUCUGAUCACGAGUUCCGCGAUUUCUUGACGUUUUCUGGGAUACUUAAUUGGUAAAUCAAAUAUUUUGAUAAAGACGUGAAGUACUUUAGUACGACAGUAAGGGCUUAUAUCUAGUAAUCGCUCACUGAGAAGAUCCAUUAAGCUUUGAACAGUUGCUGGCACUGACUCUGACAUUUCAUUUUGAGCCUCAUCAUGAAUUUGAUCAAUGACCACAUUAGCAAGUACUUCUAUGAUAGCGCAUCUCAGAGUAUAUGAUUCCGAAUCAAGCAGCUUAACUAAUUGAGUAAGCUGUUUCAAACAUAAGUUUGGAAUAAGUGAAGAAAGACGGACAAGAAACAAAGCGACUUGCUUGGGACCUUUAACAUCGUUAUCAUUAAAUUCUAGAGAGCACAAUGUUCGAAUAAUUCCUUCAGCCAAGGUAACGGAAUUAAACUGAACGGUAACAAUAUGAACAAGAUCAGCAGCAUACUCAGAUAAAUGCUCAAAGUAUUGUAAAUUUUGAAUAAUAUUUGUCUCCGCUGCAGUGGUAUGGUUAUGGAAUUGAACAGCAAGCCCGAUAAUAUUAAAUAAACGAGAACGGAAAGAAGCAUUUUUUAUGUUAAUUUCACUUUCCAUUAACGUGUAUAUUGGUUUUAGGAAAAGUGAAAGAAACAUGUCUCUUUCCGAAGAAGUAGUCCAUACACGAGAUAAUUUUUUUUGAAAUAAUGUUAUGAUUGCAUCUAACAAAGCAUUUACAUGUGAGAUACCAUUCCAGUUAGAGUUAGUAGUUGGAUUUUUUUUUCUUCCCUUAACAGUAUUAGUGGAUGACCGAAUAACUGAAAGUUGAUUUGAGGAAGAAAGGGAAUUGACCGUGAGCUGAAAUGCAAUGCCUGUAGUUUCUAAAUUCGUUUGAGGUACAGUAAAAUCAGUAGCAUUUGCGGAAAUCAUAUCUUCAAGAAUAGCGGAUUCAGAGCUGAUAUUACUCGUG